AUUGAACGCUGGCGGCAUGCUUUACACAUGCAAGUCGAACGGUAACAGGCCUUCGGGCGCUGACGAGUGGCGAACGGGUGAGUAAUGCAUCGGAACGUGCCCAGUCGUGGGGGAUAAUUAUCCGAAAGGAUAGCUAAUACCGCAUACGAUCUGCGGAUGAAAGCGGGGGACCUUCGGGCCUCGCGCGAUUGGAGCGGCCGAUGUCAGAUUAGGUAGUUGGUGGGGUAAAGGCUCACCAAGCCAACGAUCUGUAGCUGGUCUGAGAGGACGACCAGCCACACUGGGACUGAGACACGGCCCAGACUCCUACGGGAGGCAGCAGUGGGGAAUUUUGGACAAUGGGCGCAAGCCUGAUCCAGCAAUGCCGCGUGCAGGAAGAAGGCCUUCGGGUUGUAAACUGCUUUUGUACGGAACGAAACGGCUCUGGUUAAUACCCGGGGCUAAUGACGGUACCGUAAGAAUAAGCACCGGCUAACUACGUGCCAGCAGCCGCCGUAAUAC
rnacentral:rRNA from 1 species